rnacentral:rRNA from 1 species
GUAACGGGGAAUUAGGGUUCGAUUCCGGAGAGGGAGCCUGAGAAACGGCUACCACAUCCAAGGAGGCAGCAGGCGCGCAAAUUACCCAAUCCCGACACGGGGAGGUAGUGACAAAUAAAUAACAAAUACAAGGGCUCUUUCAGGUCUGUAAUUGGAAUGAGUACAAAUUUAAAUCUCUUAAUGAGGAACAAUUGGAGGGCAAGUCUGGUGCCAGCAGCCGCGGUAAUUCCAGCUCCAAUAGCGUAUAUUAAAGUUGUUGCAGUUAAAAAGCUCGUAGUUGAAUUUCGGGAUUAGUACGUUGGUCGUGCCUUCGGUACGUACUGGUGUUACUGAUUCCUACCUUCUGACGAACCAUCAUGUCAUUAAUUUGGUGUGGUGGGGAAUCAGGACUGUUACUUUGAAAAAAUUAGAGUGUUUAAAGCGGGCAUUUGCUUGAAUACAUUAGCAUGGAAUAAUGAAAUAGGACGACGGUUCUAUUUUGUUGGUUAUAGGACCAUCGUAAUGAUUAAUAGGGAUAGUUGGGGGCAUUAGUAUUCAAUUGUCAGAGGUGAAAUUCUUGGAUUUAUUGAAGACUAACUACUGCGAAAGCAUUUGCCAAGGAUGUUUUCAUUAAUCAAGAACGAAAGUUAGGGGAUCGAAGACGAUCAGAUACC